AGUUGCCAACAGAUAAUGCUGUGCACUCUAAACAGACUGCCGUGGAUAACACGGAGGAAGGUGGGGAUGACGUCAAAUCAUCAUGCCCCUUAUGAUCUGGGCUACACACGUGCUACAAUGGUCGGUACAACGGGCAGCGAAAGAGUAAUCUGGAGCGAAUCCUAAAAAGCCGAUCCCAGUUCGGAUUGUGGGCUGAAACUCGCCCACAUGAAGUUGGAGUUGCUAGUAAUCGCGGAUCAGCAUGCCGCGGUGAAUACGUUCCCGGGCCUU
rnacentral:rRNA from 1 species